UACGUAGGGAGCGAGCGUUGUCCGGAUUCAUUGGGCGUAAAGCGCUUUAAGGCGGUUCGCUAAGUCGGGUGUGAAACCUCCAGGCUCAACCUGGAGACGCCACUCGAUACUGGCGUGACUAGAGUUCGGUAGGGGAUCACGGAAUUCCUGGUGUAGGCGGUGGAAUGCGCAGAUAAUCAGGAAGAACACCAAUGGCGAAAGCAGCUCUCUGGGACGGUACUGACGCUGAGGAGCGAAAGCGUGGGGAGCGAACAGG
rnacentral:rRNA from 1 species